UACGUAGGGUGCGAGCGUUAAUCGGAAUUACUGGGCGUAAAGCGUGCGCAGGCGGUUUUGUAAGCCGGAUGUGAAAUCCCCGGGCUUAACCUGGGAAUGGCAUUUGGGACUGCAAGGCUGGAGUGUGGCAGAGGAGACUGGAAUUCCUGGUGUAGCAGUGAAAUGCGUAGAUAUCAGGAGGAAUACCGAUGGCGAAGGCAGGUCUCUGGGCUGACACUGACGCUCAUGCACGAAAGCGUGGGGAGCAAACAGG
rnacentral:rRNA from 1 species